rnacentral:rRNA from 1 species
UAUGUAGGGUGCAAGCGUUAUCCGGAAUUACUGGGCGUAAAGCGCGCGCAGGCGGAUCGCUAAGUAGGGCGUGAAAUCUCCCGGCCUAACUGGGAGGGGUCGCCCUAAACUGGCAGUCUUGAGGACAGCAGAGGUAGGUGGAAUUCCUGGUGUAGUGGUGAAAUGCGUGAGAGAUAGGAGGAACACCGGUGGCGAAGGCGGCCUACUGGGCUGAUCUCUGACGCUGAGGCGCGAAAGCUCGGGGAGCGAACGGG